UGGGGAAUAUUGGACAAUGGGGGGAACCCUGAUCCAGCCAUGCCGCGUGUGUGAAGAAGGCCUUAUGGUUGUAAAGCACUGUAAGCGAGGAGGAGGGUACUGGUAUUAAUACUACCAGCUACUGGACGUUACUCGCAGAAUAAGCACCGGCUAACUCUGUGCCAGCAGCCGCGGUAAUACAGAGGGUGCGAGCGUUAAUCGGAUUUACCGGGCGUAAAGCGUGCGUAGGCGGCUAAUUGAGUCGGAUGUGAAAUCCCCGAGCUUAACUUGGGAAUUGCAUUCGAUACUGGUUAGCUAGAGUGUGGGAGAGGAUGGUAGAAUUCCAGGUGUAGCGGUGAAAUGCGUAGAGAUCUGGAGGAAUACCGAUGGCGAAGGCAGCCAUCUGGCCUAACACUGACGCUGAGGUACGAAAGCAAGGGGAGCAAACAGG
rnacentral:rRNA from 1 species